UAGGGGAAGAAAAUACAUACAUUAGUCAUCUGUUGCUGGUGGUUGGAUAGCCAGGAGCUACAGAUCUUGAUAUCUCUCUGCUACUUGGUAGAGAGUCCAGAGACUCUGCAACUUGUUCAGCACUUGCUACAGCGUAGAUAUCUGAGAAACGCCAGGCCUGCUUGCUUUCUACCACUAAAAGAAUUUACUGGAAUCUAAACUUCCCUGAGUGAGAGGAUGUCAUUCCAUGGACAAAAAUCCACUAAGCAACAGAGAAGACAACAGCACUUUGGAAAACACAUGAGGCCAGGGAAACCUAACUUAGGGUUCAGUCUUCCAAACCAGGCAAUACUUGAGUAGUUAAGAUAUCAGGUACUAGAAAGGCAGAGAGAAGUGACACAUAUAAGGUGUAUUUCUUCCUUGAGGCAUUUGUCCACACUUAAGCUAUAGAGAACCUGUAACCAAGAUGCUCAACAGACAGCAGUUAAAAUCUCAGUGGACUUCUCAGUGGUCCCUUGAUGUUACAUGAUAAAGACCUGAGUUCAUCCCAUCUGGACCCCAAAACCUUGGCAAGACUUUAUCAUUUUACUGUCUCUAUAUGGGGCCAUUUCCAGAGUGCCAUAUACUUGGAUUCAUACAAUACAUAGUCUUUUCAGACUGACUUCUUUCACUUAGUCAUUCAUUUACAUUUUCUUCAUACCCUUUCAUGACUUGAUAGCUCAUUUUUUUUAGUCCAGGAUACUAUUUCAUCUUCUAGGUGCACUAGAAGAUGAAUUAUCCUCUGUACUACUGAAGGACAUCUUGACUGCCUCCAAGUUUUGGUUGCUAUGAAUAAAAUAGAAUAAAUCUUCUUA